AGCGAACGCUGGCGGCAGGCCUAAUACACGCAAGUCGAGCGCACCUUCGGGUGAGCGGCGGACGGGUGAGUAACGCGUGGGAACGUGCCCUUUGGUACGGGAUAACUGAGGGAAACUUCAGCUAAUACCGUAUGUGCCCUACGGGGGAAAGAUUUAUCGCCAUUGGAGCGGCCCGCGUUGGAUUAGGUAGUUGGUGAGGUAAAGGCUCACCAAGCCUACGAUCCAUAGCUGGUCUGAGAGGAUGAUCUGCCACACUGGGACUGAGACACGGCCCAGACUCCUACGGGAGGCAGCAGUAGGGAAUCUUGCGCAAUGGGCGAAAGCCUGACGCAGCCAUGCCGCGUGAAUGAUGAAGGUCUUAGGAUUGUAAAAUUCUUUCACCGGGGAAGAUAAUGACGGUACCCGGAGAAGAAGCCCCGGCUAACUUCGUGCCAGCCGCCGCAGUAAGAC
rnacentral:rRNA from 1 species